GAUGGACGCUGGCGGCGUGCCUAAUACAUGCAAGUCGAGCGAACAGACGAGGAGCUUGCUCCUCUGACGUUAGCGGCGGACGGGUGAGUAACACGUGGAUAACCUACCUAUAAGACUGGGAUAACUUCGGGAAACCGGAGCUAAUACCGGAUAAUAUAUUGAACCGCAUGGUUCAAUAGUGAAAGACGGUUUUGCUGUCACUUAUAGAUGGAUCCGCGCCGCAUUAGCUAGUUGGUAAGGUAACGGCUUACCAAGGCAACGAUGCGUAGCCGACCUGAGAGGGUGAUCGGCCACACUGGAACUGAGACACGGUCCAGACUCCUACGGGAGGCAGCAGUAGGGAAUCUUCCGCAAUGGGCGAAAGCUUGACGGAGCAACGCCGCGUGAGUGAUGAAGGUCUUCGGAUCGUAAAACUCUGUUAUUAGGGAAGAACAAAUGUGUAAGUAACUAUGCACGUCUUGACGGUACCUAAUCAGAAAGCCACGGCGAACUACGU
rnacentral:rRNA from 1 species